rnacentral:rRNA from 1 species
UUAAGCGACUAAGCGUACACGGUGGAUGCCCUGGCAGUCAGAGGCGAUGAAGGACGUGCUAAUCUGCGAUAAGCGUCGGUAAGGUGAUAUGAACCGUUAUAACCGGCGAUUUCCGAAUGGGGAAACCCAGUGUGUUUCGACACACUAUCAUUAACUGAAUCCAUAGGUUAAUGAGGCGAACCGGGGGAACUGAAACAUCUAAGUACCCCGAGGAAAAGAAAUCAACCGAGAUUCCCCCAGUAGCGGCGAGCGAACGGGGAGCAGCCCAGAGCCUGAAUCAGUGUGUGUGUUAGUGGAAGCGUCUGGAAAGGCGCGCGAUACAGGGUGACAGCCCCGUACACAAAAAUGCACAUGCUGUGAGCUCGAUGAGUAGGGCGGGACACGUGGUAUCCUGUCUGAAUAUGGGGGGACCAUCCUCCAAGGCUAAAUACUCCUGACUGACCGAUAGUGAACCAGUACCGUGAGGGAAAGGCGAAAAGAACCCCGGCGAGGGGAGUGAAAAAGAACCUGAAACCGUGUACGUACAAGCAGUGGGAGCACGCUUAGGCGUGUGACUGCGUACCUUUUGUAUAAUGGGUCAGCGACUUAUAUUCUGUAGCAAGGUUAACCGAAUAGGGGAGCCGAAGGGAAACCGAGUCUUAACUGGGCGUUAAGUUGCAGGGUAUAGACCCGAAACCCGGUGAUCUAGCCAUGGGCAGGUUGAAGGUUGGGUAACACUAACUGGAGGACCGAACCGACUAAUGUUGAAAAAUUAGCGGAUGACUUGUGGCUGGGGGUGAAAGGCCAAUCAAACCGGGAGAUAGCUGGUUCUCCCCGAAAGCUAUUUAGGUAGCGCCUCGUGAAUUCAUCUCCGGGGGUAGAGCACUGUUUCGGCAAGGGGGUCAUCCCGACUUACCAACCCGAUGCAAACUGCGAAUACCGGAGAAUGUUAUCACGGGAGACACACGGCGGGUGCUAACGUCCGUCGUGAAGAGGGAAACAACCCAGACCGCCAGCUAAGGUCCCAAAGUCAUGGUUAAGUGGGAAACGAUGUGGGAAGGCCCAGACAGCCAGGAUGUUGGCUUAGAAGCAGCCAUCAUUUAAAGAAAGCGUAAUAGCUCACUGGUCGAGUCGGCCUGCGCGGAAGAUGUAACGGGGCUAAACCAUGCACCGAAGCUGCGGCAGCGACGCUUAUGCGUUGUUGGGUAGGGGAGCGUUCUGUAAGCCUGUGAAGGUGUACUGUGAGGUAUGCUGGAGGUAUCAGAAGUGCGAAUGCUGACAUAAGUAACGAUAAAGCGGGUGAAAAGCCCGCUCGCCGGAAGACCAAGGGUUCCUGUCCAACGUUAAUCGGGGCAGGGUGAGUCGACCCCUAAGGCGAGGCCGAAAGGCGUAGUCGAUGGGAAACAGGUUAAUAUUCCUGUACUUGGUGUUACUGCGAAGGGGGGACGGAGAAGGCUAUGUUGGCCGGGCGACGGUUGUCCCGGUUUAAGCGUGUAGGCUGGUUUUCCAGGCAAAUCCGGAAAAUCAAGGCUGAGGCGUGAUGACGAGGCACUACGGUGCUGAAGCAACAAAUGCCCUGCUUCCAGGAAAAGCCUCUAAGCAUCAGGUAACAUCAAAUCGUACCCCAAACCGACACAGGUGGUCAGGUAGAGAAUACCAAGGCGCUUGAGAGAACUCGGGUGAAGGAACUAGGCAAAAUGGUGCCGUAACUUCGGGAGAAGGCACGCUGAUAUGUAGGUGAAGUCCCUCGCGGAUGGAGCUGAAAUCAGUCGAAGAUACCAGCUGGCUGCAACUGUUUAUUAAAAACACAGCACUGUGCAAACACGAAAGUGGACGUAUACGGUGUGACGCCUGCCCGGUGCCGGAAGGUUAAUUGAUGGGGUCAGCGCAAGCGAAGCUCUUGAUCGAAGCCCCGGUAAACGGCGGCCGUAACUAUAACGGUCCUAAGGUAGCGAAAUUCCUUGUCGGGUAAGUUCCGACCUGCACGAAUGGCGUAAUGAUGGCCAGGCUGUCUCCACCCGAGACUCAGUGAAAUUGAACUCGCUGUGAAGAUGCAGUGUACCCGCGGCAAGACGGAAAGACCCCGUGAACCUUUACUAUAGCUUGACACUGAACAUUGAGCCUUGAUGUGUAGGAUAGGUGGGAGGCUUUGAAGUGUGGACGCCAGUCUGCAUGGAGCCGACCUUGAAAUACCACCCUUUAAUGUUUGAUGUUCUAACGUUGACCCGUAAUCCGGGUUGCGGACAGUGUCUGGUGGGUAGUUUGACUGGGGCGGUCUCCUCCUAAAGAGUAACGGAGGAGCACGAAGGUUGGCUAAUCCUGGUCGGACAUCAGGAGGUUAGUGCAAUGGCAUAAGCCAGCUUGACUGCGAGCGUGACGGCGCGAGCAGGUGCGAAAGCAGGUCAUAGUGAUCCGGUGGUUCUGAAUGGAAGGGCCAUCGCUCAACGGAUAAAAGGUACUCCGGGGAUAACAGGCUGAUACCGCCCAAGAGUUCAUAUCGACGGCGGUGUUUGGCACCUCGAUGUCGGCUCAUCACAUCCUGGGGCUGAAGUAGGUCCCAAGGGUAUGGCUGUUCGCCAUUUAAAGUGGUACGCGAGCUGGGUUUAGAACGUCGUGAGACAGUUCGGUCCCUAUCUGCCGUGGGCGCUGGAGAACUGAGGGGGGCUGCUCCUAGUACGAGAGGACCGGAGUGGACGCAUCACUGGUGUUCGGGUUGUCAUGCCAAUGGCACUGCCCGGUAGCUAAAUGCGGAAGAGAUAAGUGCUGAAAGCAUCUAAGCACGAAACUUGCCCCGAGAUGAGUUCUCCCUGAC